rnacentral:rRNA from 1 species
UACGUAGGGUGCAAGCGUUGUCCGGAAUUAUUGGGCGUAAAGAGCUCGUAGGCGGUCUGUCGCGUCGGCUGUGAAAACCCGGAGCUCAACUCCGGGCCUGCAGUCGAUACGGGCAGACUGGAGUUCGGCAGGGGAGACUGGAAUUCCUGGUGUAGCGGUGAAAUGCGCAGAUAUCAGGAGGAACACCGGUGGCGAAGGCGGGUCUCUGGGCCGAUACUGACGCUGAGACGCGAAAGCGUGGGGAGCAAACAGG